AGCCCCGGGGUGUCCACAUCAAAAUGCAAGUUUGAAGAAGAGCCCUAAAAGGCUCCGGGGCUU
rnacentral:tRNA from 1 species